GGGAGAUAGCUCAGUGGUGGAGAGCACUUGCCUAACAUGUGCUGGGCCCUGGGUUCAAUCCCCAGCAUCUCUCU
rnacentral:tRNA from 1 species